rnacentral:lncRNA from 1 species
GCGGUGGUGGUGGAGGUGAAGGACCGUAAACGUGAGGUGGCGGUGGUGGGUGAGGAGCAUAUGGGUCUGCUACUGGUGGUGGUGGUGGUGGAGGACUUGGACCUGGACCUGGACGGUGGUGUCUAUGAAAUGCCAUGUUUUUGAAAGUUAGGUGAUCAAUACAAAGUGUUGUGCUGUUGUUUUUGUUUUAAGGGAUUUGGAGUUGUUCGUAUGUACACUAGAAACAUGUAUUUCCUUUGACGGUUUGUUGGAUGACGUGCAGAUGUUUGUGCCUCGGCUUCCUCAGCCAAUCAGAAUUUUAUUUUUGUCAAAAUUCGUUUCGUCUCCUCAUAUACUCCGUUUCAAGAGUGCAUAAUAUUUUAUUGACUAUUAUUAUUAUUAUUAUUAUUAUUAUUAUUAUUAUUAUUAUUAUUAUUAUUAUUAUUAUUAUUAUUAUUAUUAUUAUUAUUAUUAUUAUUAUUAUUAUUAUUAUUAUUGGUUUUGACUAUUUUAUGAUGUUUAGACUUUAGACUACAAGAUAUGAUGUCAAAAAUAGACCCAUGUAUAAUAAUAUUAUGUUGUUAUCUUUCAUUUUGAUAACAAAAUCUCUUCGUAUCAUCGCAGAUUAUUCAUUUUCAUUUUACGAAAAGUAAAAAAAAAAAGCAUGGUUGUAAAGAAACUGCACCAUUAAUUAAAUCGUGAAAAUAUUAUUAAUCAUUACUAUAUGAUUUUCUAACUUUCUAAUACCAGUAACCAUAUUAUAAUAUACUAACACACUUUUUUUUCAAUUACACCAAAUUAUUAUUAUUAUUAUUUUCAUAAUAAAUUGAAGCUGUAAUAAUAUUUUUAGCACCAUUCCAAUUUAUUCAAUAAAUAUAUAAUUUAUUAUUUUAUAAAAUAGGCGGCCUCUAACUCUAGUUGAAAAAAAAAGGAAAAAAAAUUGAAUCGAGAACAUGUUUGAGAAUACAACAAAAAUUAUACCAUUCAAAGAAAAAUUAUAAAACCUAAGGGGUAUUAACAAAAAUUCCUUGGACUAGGCCAGGCAAUGUCUGCCACUGGUGGAAAGUAGAUAUUUAUUUGCAUUUGUGGUUGUAAUCGAAAAUGGUAGGGAUAGUGAAUCUUUUAGGUGUAUUUCUUACGGGUGUCGUAAUUUUGACAUCGACUAAAACUUGUUUAAAUUUUGACAUUUUUAUUAGUGCAUUGAAUGUAACGUGUUGCUAUUACGAUGUAGGGAUGGCAAUAGGGAGGGGAGGGGAGGGGACCAAUCUCCCUAUACCCAUUCCUGAUAUUUUGUUAUGUCCCCGUUCCCUCCGCGUCCCCGUCAGAAUUGCUUAAGAGAAUCUUUAUCCCCUCUCUGAAUAAUAACAGGGGAUCCCCGAGGGUCCCCGGUCCCCGAAUAACUAAUAGUCUAAUACAUUUUUUUUUAUUUUUUUUUAAAUUAAUCAUAUUAAAAUAAAAAAUUCAGAUAAAAAUAAAGUUUAAAAUAUAUCUUGCAUUAAUAUUGAUCCAUUACAAAGUCACAUUCAAAAUAUAAAUUAUUAAAAUAAUUAUCUUUGUCAAUGACUCAAUCUUCAUAAUCCUACAAUAAAAAGAAAAAAAAUUAUUUUUAUAUCGGUAAUAAAAUAAAUAAAAUAAAUGUAGAUACUUAAUUAAUAUUUUUAAUAAAACUAUUUACCUCCUGCUCCUCCUGUUCUUCCUCGAGAAAUGUGGCAAAUUGAGAGCUAGUCUCAGAUUUCAAACCUAAAACAAUGAAAAUGAUAUAAGUAACGUAACUUAUAAGUGCAAAUAUUAAUUACUGUAUAAUAUAAUUACAAUGUAAAAUAAACUCAUACUGCUAUUGUAAGCUCGUAACCAACUUUGACAGCACAUUAAGGCCUCCAAUGUGUUUGGAUGAAGUUUGUUACGGUGUGCACUCACAACUCUACCACCGGUGCUAAAAGCUGAUUCAGAAGCAACUGUUGUAAUUGGAAUUGCCAAAAUAUCUCUAGCAAUUCGAGCUAAUGUAGGAUUCGAAUUAGGAUUAGAACUGUUGUAAAUUAUAAUUAGGCAGCUCUCUCCUGUAUCAUUGUGGUUUAGAUUAAAAAUUUAAGACUUUAAUUAGUUAAUUAAGUUUAAAAGUUUAAUAAUAUAACUAUUUUAAUAUUUAUUAUUUUUAACAAUAUUUAUAAUUUUGUUAUUUAUUUAUUAGUAAUUUUAAAAAUAAAAAUAAAAUUAAAAAUUAAAAUGGGGAAAUGGGUAGGGGAUGGGGAUUCCACCUCAUCCCCGUCCCCUCCCCGAAUAAAAAAUUGGGUAAAAAUUUUUCCCGUCCUCUCCCCGAAUAAAAAAUUGGGUAUAAAAUUAUCCCCGUACCCCCCCCCCCCCCGAAUGAGGAAAAUCCCCGAGGGUACCCGUCCCCGUGGGAAUUUUUGUCAUCCCUAUUACGAUGUCACGAAGUCAAGACUCUGUCCUGCUUUCUGCUUCGGCGUUUGUGAUUUGGCUUUGCCAACACCUUCUUCCCUUUCUAAUAUUGUAUUUCCUCCUAUGGUAGGGUGAAUAUUUACUAAUGCUGCAGUGCACACGUCACGAGAACUGGGCUUUCGGUUUGCACAGAUCGAACCCUGGGCUCUUGUUAAGUUUUAGCGCCCCCCCCCCCCCCCCCCAAUACCCAAAUACCAUCCAAACGGAUAAAUAACAACAAUGGAAAAUUCUCAUAGCACCUCUUUUAAAUUUUAUUUUUUUUUCCUAAAAAAUGAUGCUAUAAAAAAAAAACCAUAAUUUUUACUCUUCGAACCUAUCUUUAUAUUCAACGUAAUUUUAUUAAAUCCUAAAUAUAUUCUCAAGCAAUGGAUUUUUGUAAUCAUGUUUGUUCUUUUGCUGGAAUUUAAAUUGCAAUGGCAGCUAGGGGUGGGCAAUUUAUUCGACCUGAUCCAAUCCGAUUAAAAAAAAAUCAAGUUAGGAUCGGAUCAGAUGGAAGAUAAUAUCCGAACGGGUUGGCUAAAAAAAAAAACACACGCAAGACACUCAAACACCACCCACUCAUUCACACAGUCACACCACUCUCAGCCCACUCAAACUCAAACCUACAACAAUGAGCAGCCUACAGCCAACACUCUCGUCUCUCUCAACUCAACUUCACUACUUCAGUUCUCAUCUCGCUCUCGUCUCUCUCUCAAGUCUCAACUCUCGAGAUUCAAGAAAGAAAAUAGAAUUGUGACAAACACACUCUAAAAUAUUUUGCAAAGAAAUAUCAAAUGGAUGAAAAGAUAUAAAUGAAGGAUUCCUAAACCAACAGAAGUGGCAGUGCCUUUCUUUAAGCGCAUUCUCAAUCUUGCACGAGUGACUGAUGUUACUUACAAGGAUGAUAAUGGCUACACCAAUUCUUAUGUGAUCAAAGACUAUAUCACCCACUGCUUGAGAAGCCUGUUCUCUUUUGAGUAGUUUUUGCGAUGCAGAUUACAUCCUAUAUAAACUAUUAAUGUUGUUUUUGGAAUAAGCUCUGAAAUUUGUUCCUCAGAGAGCUUUUUUGCUGCUGUCAUCACAAUUAUCAAAUUCUUCCGUACAAUUAGUAAAGGCUUCCCUGUUUAUAUAUAUAUAAAUAAAAGAAAUCACCCAACAUAGUGUUGUUUAACUGAAAAAGGAAAUUCAAGCAUCCAAAAUCAAAAUAUCCAAAAUGAAAAUAAGGUACCUAAUACUUGAAAGAAAGGGAUAUUCAAUACCCGUUUCAAAUCGUGCAUAAUCAUCUAGCAUGGCUCUCAUUGUCCCUCUGCAGCGCCGACUUUUUCCAUUAUUUUCUGCCCUUCUUCACCUUCGUCAUGAACCGAUCAAGACCGAAUGGAUCAGCUUCUUCAGCCUCCUUCUCAAACUUAACCGGUCCGUCCCUCGUACCAGACCUCUCAGAUGUACCUGCAAAUGCCUUGUCGGGUUUAAACCGAUCAGUCUUUCUAAUCUUCUCCAACUGCUCAUCCGCAUUUGCUCCAUAAAUUUCAGCAUCAGCAUCUUUUUUGGGCCUGUAAAGGGUUGAAAGAGUCGGCUGUGCUGUAAACAAGCCUUUGUCAUACACAUUAUACUGAUCACCGUCAGUGGCAAAACCAGAGUCCAUUCCUUUCUUCUGAUUAAAAAGCCUUGCGUCAUGAGUAACCUCACCCGCUCUGCCUCCGCCACCAAAAGAGGCCAUCCCAAGGGCAACUUUCUCGCUAACAUCCCGAUCUCUGUCUCUAACAACCUUACUAUUCUUCUUCCCCAUAGCAACAUCCUUGGCCAGCAAAUUUCUCUCCCUCUUCCUCUCGCGACGUCUCUCCUCACGAAUUCUCUCCCUCUCCCUUUCCCUCUCCCUCAGCAAUCCCUGCUCGCUUUCCUUCAAUGUCUCCAUUGCCUUACGUGCUAAAUCCCGUAGCUGCUGCUCUUUCCUUUCCUUCUCCUUCGUGAGCAUCUCCAUCUGCACCUUGAAUCUUAUUUCAAUUGCCUCCCUCGCCUUCUGCUCUGCCAAAUAAAGAGCCUCCGACAAUUUAGCAAAUCCCUCAUUUACCUGAACCUCCAGAAGCCCUCUUCCUUCGGCAGCGAGCUGCUUAUCCAGCGGAAUUGUAAACCGCUGUGGGUUCUUCCAAUUUGAUAUACAUGGUGGGAUUCUCCAAUCCAGCUGAUCUUUCACAGUCAUAGGCCUAGGAGGGGAAUGCAUGACCGGUACUGGCGGAGAUCCCGAAGCUUUCGGCACACGCUUGUGCUUCAACUUUGGUGGCUCAAGUGGGUCCAAAGGCAUCGCCACCACUCUCAAAAUCCUCCUUUUUAGGGAUGGCAAUGAAUUGGAUUUGAUCCAAGAUCCAUGUAAUUCAAAUCCAAUCGGAUCGGAUUUGGAUCGGUUUAAAAUAGAUUUGGAUCAGAUGUGCGGAUUUAAGACGAAUCUGGAGUAGAUAUGGAUCUAUCGUAAUAUUUAAAUCCAUAUUCAUAUCCACUCAUCUUUUAAUUUUAUUUUAUUUUAAAAGUUUCUUAAUAAUUGUGGAAUGAUAAUAUGAUAAUAAAUUUUAUUCAUAGCAUAUAUAGUAGUAUUUACCAUGUAUUUAAACUCUUUUUUUUUUUUAGAAGAAUGUAUUUAAACUCUUAAAACUUAAAGGUUAGUUUUGUAAAUUUAAAGGUCAGCCAGCCUCAAAGCAUGUACAUGCAAUAUUCAAAUUGCAAUCCAAGUAAUAUAACCUGGUAAUUUAUUUUAUCAUAUUGGCCAAAUAAUUUUUAAGGAAUAUAGUUAUUCAUAUAUUUAGUCAAAUAUGGUCAUAAUAAAAAUAAUAAAGGACUGAAUAUAAAUCAUAUUUAAUUUAUAUGUCAUUAUUUAAUGUUGUAGGAAUGAGGGUAGGUGUAUCGUGGAUAUUAGAAUGAUGAAGGAGACAAUAGAAUAUUAGAUUGAUCUUACUCCUGCAAUUACUUCUAAAUGAUAUUUUAUUAUCUUUCUUAUUUGUUGUUUUGGUAUAAAAGUAUAAGCUACAAUAUUUAUUAUAUUUUUUAGAAAAAUUAUAUAAUUUAUUUGUUAUCAAUACAUUUUAGCCUUCAAUUUUCAAUCUAAAAAAUUAUUACUUUUUUAUUACGGAAUUUUAGAAUUCAUGAUGGAUCUAGAGCAGAUUUGGAUUUUAAUUUUUUUUCAGAUUUGGAGCGGAUAUAGAUAUUUAUUUCUUUUUUGGAUCUGGAUAUGGAGCGAAAAAUAUGGAUUCAUAACAGAUCUGGAGCAGAUAUGGAUCUUGAUUUUUAUUAUGGAUUUGGAUCUGGAACAAAUACGGAUCUUAAUUUUUAUUAUAGAUUUGGAUCUGGAGCAAAAUAAAUCCAACACAUAUCUACCUCAUUGCCAUCCCUACUCCUUUUAGCCCCAGAAUAGAAGUCCACCGAUUGUUGUGAUGGUCUGUACAUAAUAAAUUUGGACUCUAAUGACUGCGUAGGUGCAGCAUUCACAACACUGUUAACAAUCUUUUCAAGUUCAGCUUUUGUUACAGGAGUAGUCACGUCAAUCUCAUCUUCUUGAUCAGGAAAAGCGCUACCAUCAUCAUCAUCGAAAUCCUCAAGUUUCCGUGGAAGUAUCACCAUGUUACAAAGAUUUCUUGCUUGUCAAUCAAGCCUGUGAUUAGUCCCAAGCAAUUUAAGGGUUCCUCAAGGGCUGAAAAAGAAUCUUGUGUUUUUUGUUAUCGUACACAACCAGCAAAUUUCUCUCCCAGUAGCGGCGACUCUGUUUUAAGAUUUGCUAAUGCUAUGCUAGUUUGCUAACUUGUAGCGGAGGUAAUCUCACUAAUGCUAAAACUAGAUAUCCUGAUGUAAAAACUUUAAACACAAAAAAAGUGCUCGUUUUGAAAAAUUAUUUGAGAUUACAACCUUAUUUAUUAGUUUUAAUUAUUACUCAAAAAAGCUAUUACAAUAAUUGAAAUCCUAGUCAAAACUAAAAUAAUAAUAAAAACUAAUUAAUAUGGCAACAGAUAAGACAAAUCCUAAACAAAUUAGAAAUACCAAUUAAAAAGAGGAAAAUUUCGGAUUAGAACAAAAAGAAAGGGCAAUAAUCUUUAUCCGUAUCCGUAGAAAAUAAGGAAAAUUUUUUAUGUAGAUAAUAAAGACUUGCCCACGGUAGUGUCCUAAGAAAGUAAGGAAAACCAAUCUAUAUAAAGAGACUUGCCUGUGCUUGUCGAAAAGCAUUAUACCUUCUUCUUUUAAUUAGCCUGCUAGCUAGCUCCUUAGUAAUCAGUCCCAAAUUUUCAGCUUUCUUAACUUCUUCUCCGUUACCUUAUUCAUCAUCUUCAUUAAAACAAGAAAACAGGAGAAAAAAAAUGCCUGGUGUUUCAAGAAUUGAUAAGGGUAAUGGCAGAGUGUACCCUGGAUACCUUACCCCAUUCGUCGCAAUCACAUGUAUCGUUGCUGCCAUGGGUGGCCUCAUCUUUGGUUACGACAUUGGGAUUUCUGGUAAAUAUAUUUAUACUUACAUACAUAUUAACUAGCUAAUUAAGUACUGUAGUAUUGUGAAUUAUGAGUUAUGCUGACGGUUUAAUCAAAAUAUUAACCUAGCUAACUGCAUAAAUAAUAUAACGCAGGUGGUGUGACCUCAAUGCCUUCGUUUUUGAAGAGUUUUUCCCAUCGGUGUACGAGAAGCAACAAGUAAACUCGUCAGCGAAUCAGUACUGUCAAUAUAACAGCGAGUCGUUGACUUUGUUCACGUCUUCGCUAUACUUGGCUGCUUUGAUAGCAUCGCUUGUAGCAUCAUCGGUGACAAGGAAAUUCGGAAGAAAGUGGUCCAUGUUAUUCGGUGGGGUUCUGUUUCUUGCUGGUACAUUAAUCAAUGGCUUGGCCCAAGACGUUUGGAUGCUUAUUGUUGGCCGUCUUUUGCUCGGUUUCGGUAUCGGCUUCGCUAAUCAGUCUGUGCCACUCUACCUCUCUGAGAUGGCCCUCUAAAUACAGAGGAGCCUUGAACAUUGGGUUUCAAUUGUCAAUCACCGUUGGAAUUUUAGUGGCCAACCUGUUGAAUUUUUUCUUUGCUAAGAUUAAGGGUGGCUGGGGAUGGCGUUUGAGCUUAGGUGGUGCCAUGGUCCCUGCCCUUAUCAUCACCGUCGGUUCAGUUUUCCUCCCGGACACACCAAAUUCAAUGAUUGAACGCGGCCAGCACGAUGAAGCCAGAAAGCAACUUAGAAAAGUUCGCGGUGUUAAUGAUGUUGACGGAGAAUUUAAUGAUCUUGUUGCAGCCAGUGAAGCAUCCAAGCAAGUUGAACAUCCUUGGAGGAAUUUGUUGAGAAGGAAAUAUAGGCCUCACCUUACCAUGGCUGUUCUGAUUCCCUUCUUCCAGUAAUUCACUGGCAUUAAUGUUAUCAUGUUUUACGCUCCUAUUUUGUUCGACACAAUUGGUUUCGGCAAUGAUGCAUCACUCAUGUCCGCUGUGAUCACCGGUCUUGUCAAUGUUUCCGCAACAUUCGUAUCAAUUUGUACUGUCGACAAGUGGGGAAGAAGACGUCUUUUCCUUGAAGGUGGUGCUCAAAUGUUAAUCUGCCAGGCCGUUGUUGCUGCUUGCAUCGGUUAUAAAUUUGGAGUUGAUGGGAAUCCUGGAGAGUUGCCUGUUGAUGCUUAAAUCUGCUCGCCUUUAGACCGACCAGAUUCUUUCACCAACGUUUGUGUUAUCUACUGUUGCUCGUUCACUGGGAUUGGAAUCGUCCUUCUUUCUCACAAUAGACCUGCGCUCACCAAAAACGGAUCAGAGACGCCGGUGGUUUUGCCGGCGUAAACCCUCCGAUGCUUAAGUUAGCUCAAGGUGUUUACGGGAAAACAGUGCAAUUUAGAUCUCAAAAUGGUUUCUAAAUUAUUCGGAGUUUAUAAGAAAAUAGCCUGAUUUCAAUUUGGCAGCGUUUCCCCUCUCUCAAUUUUUCCAUCCCCUUCUUCAUCGAUUUCUUCUUCUUUUAUAGCCGAUGUCCCCACGUUCCCGCUUGCCCUUCAUCCCACCUUUUUUGGGUAGUGGUAGCCUCUCAUGGGGCUCUAACUGCUGCAUUAUGGGCAAACGUGGGAUCUCGCGUCUCCCGCAACGGUUCUGGGAAAGCACAACUACCGUGAUUCUGUGAGAUCGUGUUUCCGCUUUUCGGGGGACGGGUACCGGCUCGGUAUGUGGCUCUGGUCAGUAUUCGUCUCUGAUCGACUCAUGUUACCCCUGUUCUGCUCGUACCAUUUGGCUGAGGUGAUUCAUGCCGGGGUGGAAGUAGUAUCCUGGCCGACCUGGUGCUUUUAUUUGCUUAACACCAGUCCCCCAGUUUCUGGUCUUGUGAGUGAAAUGAGUCAAGAGUAGAAACUGAUAGUCGACUCUUACCAAUCCGGGGGUUUCUCCUCUGGUCUUCUGUCUACCGGGACGAACCUGAGCAAUUCAUUUUUCUUCGGGUGAGAUUUUGAUCUGGGCGUGGGCCUAAAUGAGCAUGUCCACUGCGCACCUGGGCUUGCAUCUAGCCCGGCCUCUUGUAACGGUUGGUGACAUGGCAUCUCCCGAUUCUUCGCAUUUGAAAUUUGAAACGACGGGCUAUCUGUCCUCGAUGUACGGUGAGUGAGCUGGCGUCCCCAUCACUUAAAUGCUUCCAUUUCCCCCCUUUUCGUUUUAAAUCCCUAGACUGGAGUCUUCACCAUCUUGUUACUCGUUUCUCCACCGUUAACCAAAUUUUCUCUGGACUUUGCUCACACUUCCAGCGUCCGGAGUAUCCAUUUGCUGGGUGUUUUCUCUGUCGCGGCGGCUCUAUCAGUGUCAGUCUAUUCCAGGUAUAGCCUUUAACAUUUUCUUCGGCUGUUGUUGAUUGGGUUCUGUGUUGCCCCUUUGUGUCCAUAUACUCGAGUUUUCUCUGUCUUCUUUUGGGAUUCCGGUAUGUCAAAUCGGAAGAGGAAGUUAAUUGUUGAUGAGGGUGAUGACGAAUCAGGGGAUUCAGGCCUCAACGUGCCAAUACCCACCGAUUUUUUAGGUCCCUCCAGUAGUGUAGGUCCUCCUCAUGGUAGGGAUACCCUUGAGUACCCACGCCCCCUGGUUGUCUCUCCCUCUCCCGAAUUAAAGCUUGUAGGAAAUAGGGGUGGACCUGCGUCGGGCUCUGGUGAGAACCACAGCUUUGGUGGGGUUGGGAUCCCUGAAGGAGUUGGUGAUGGUAAGGGGAGCAGUUCCGGACCGAGCAGACCUGCUCAGAAAAGGAACCUAGGCCAUAGGGUGGAGGCUGAUUCCUACCCUAUUGAUUUCAUGGCUUGUGCCACCACCCCCACCGAUCUAUUUAAACUUAGGAAUCUCUACAACAUCCCCAACGAGGUUCUUCUUGUAGUUCCUGGAAAAGGUGAUGUCCCUAGUCGGCCUCCGAAAUGGUAUGUGACGAUGCACUUGGAGAGUUUCAGACUAGGAGCUCGGCUACCCCUUCAACCUUACUUUGCCAAGAUACUGGGCGGUAUGCACCUGGCCCCAGGUCAGCUAUACCCAAAUGGGUGGAGGGUUCUCUCGGCAAUGUUUGUGUUGUGGGAGAGGUGCGGGUCGGAGGAGCCUUCUCUUGUUGAAGUGAAACAUCUGUACCAGCUGCGGAGUAGCCCGAAGGAGGCAGGCUGGUACUAUUUCAUGUCCAGUUCCGCAAAGAGGAAACCGAUCACUGGGUUUCCAUCUUCAUGUAAAAAUUGGAAGAACAAAUUCUUCUUUGCUGGAGGGAACUGGUGUCCAGCGGUUCAGUCGCUUGGUGGGGACAUUUAUCUUCCCACCCAUUUUGUCACUCCAGGUCGUUCAUUUUUGCCUAUAUUCUUUCUCAAAUUGCCACUCAUUGGGUUCUUUAACCUUGUUUGUUUUUUCAGAAUCGUGGGGUUUGGUGAAGGAUCUUGAAGACCGACCUUUGCUUCAGGUGGAAACUGCUCUGUUGAACGCGUCUACUUGCCAAGACCUCCUGUCGCCAACAAACUUGGUCGGUUCCCGCUUAGUAGAUAUUGCCACUGGAAUGGAUAACAAGAUCCUCAGCGCGUUGAGCAGAAAGCGUGGUCGGGCUCCGAGUAGCUCCAGCAACCCUCCUCCUCCUCCAAAGAAACCCAUCGUCGGUCCUUCCAAGGCGCCAGUUCCUGCUCUGCCCCCUCCUCCACCUCGAAAGAGUGGUGGGGAUAAAACCUCCGACAAGAGUCCUGAGGUCAGCUUGCAGUCUGGGGACCGCUCUUCUCCUCUUCCAUCUCGGGAUCAAGGUGACUACCUGAGCCCAUAUCAGAAGGAUUACAGAAAAUCGGUUGGGCCCAAGAUGGUGAAGGACAUCGAGAGCAUGAGCCUCUCCGAGUUAGCUGUUUCUGUUCAAAGAGUCUCCUUCAGGCUGGCCACAAUGGUCUCGUGCUACAAGACCGGGUCCGCGCGUCAUGAGAGGAAGCUCCAAGCUGAUAACCAGGAGUUGAAAAAGAAAGUCGAAUCUGCUGACCGUUCCAAGGAGAAACUGGCCGAGCUGAACAAGCAGCUUACGGAGCUUGAGGAGAAAGUUGCUGUUGCUGAGUCCACUUCCUCCAAGCUUGAGGAUGAGUUGGGUGAUCUGAAGUCCGAUCUUCAGGCUACCCAAAGUGAAAGGGAUACUCUGAGGGUCGCCCUUGAAGGAGAGAUCAAAUCCCUGAAGGACCAGCUGGCUGAGGAGAAAAGCAAAUCAGCUGACGUGGAUGAUCGGCUGGAUGCCGAGUAUGACUCCGGGGUUGCUUUCAGCUAUAAGUGCAUCAUGUCUGUGCUUAAGGAAGAAUAUCACGAGCUCGACAUGAGCAAGCUGGAAUCUGGGGUGGAGAGGUAUAUGGCUGGGGCCGGCUAGGGAGAUAAGGAGCAGGUGGAGGUUCCUUUUGAUGAGGUGCGGGAGGAAGGAGCUGGUCAGUGUGUUUUUGAAGUGGGACAAGGGUACGCGCCUCCUCCUCCCGUUAUUGCUGAUCUUCCACCUCCCGAGAUAGCCGACGCUUCUCCUGCUGAGGCCGUUGACCUUCCUAAUCCUUAGGUCUAUUUUUGUAAAAAACUCUAGAUUGUUAUUCGCUUUGUAAACAUUUGAACAUUUAUAAAUUUUUAAAUGCUCUCAAUUGGCUUUCUUGUCUGGUUUUGCUCACGGGUUGCUUCUGCAAAACAACUUGGCAAUUUAUCUGAUUUUGCCUGUUGGUUUUUUAGUGCAUUGAGCAGGAAUAGGCAUCCGUUUGCCUUAGCGAAAUUUUCGCAAAAUUGCCUGCUGGUCUUCGAUGACCGAGCAGGAGCGGACACUUAUUUGCCUUAGUAGAAUUGUCGUAAAUUUAGCUGCUGUUUUUCGUUGACCGAGCAGAGGUAGGCACUUAGUCGAAUUUUCGUAGCUUUAGCUGCUGGUCUUUCGUUGACCGAGCAGAAGAAGGCACUGAUUUGCCUUUGUAGAAUUUCCGUAGCUUUAGCUGCUGGUCUUUCGUUGACCGAGUAGAAGUAGGCACUUGCCUUAAUCGAAUUUUCGUAGCUUUAGCUGCUGGUCUUUCAUUGACCGAGCAGAAGUAGGCACUGAUUUGCCUUUGUAGAAUUUCCGUAGCUUUAGCUGCUGGUCUUUCGUUGACCGAGCAGAAGUAGGCACUUGCCUUAGUCGAAUUUUCGUAGCUUUAGCUGCUGGUCUUUCGUUGACCGAGCAGAAAUAGGCACUUUGUUGCCUUAGUAGAAUUGUCGAAGCUUUAGCUGCUGGUCUUUCGGUGACCGAGCAGAAACAGGCACUUUAUUGCCUUAGUAGGAUUUUUUGCAGAAUUAGCUGCUGGUCUUUAGUGGACCGAGCAGAAGUUGGCACUUACUUGCCUUAGUAGAAUCUUCGUAGGUUUAGCUGCUGGUCUUUCGUUGACCGAGCAGAAGUAGGCACUUACUUGCCUUAGUAGAAACUUCGUAAAUUUAGCUGCUGGUCUUUCGUUGACCGAGCAGAAGUAGGCACUUGCCUAGGUAAAACUUUUAUUGAUUAGACUAGCAGGGGGAUUUCAUGCUGAAUUCAUCUUUAUUUGAAAUUUGAAAGCAUUACAAGAAUACUGGAUACAUACAUGUGCAGCAAAGCCAUGAUGCAGUUAACAUUGAUAUCUUGUCAAAAUGGAGAUUUAGUAGAGCACUUUGCUUACUGGAAAUACUUCUUCAAGUGUUCGGCGUUCCAUGACCUCUUCACUUCUCGUCCAUCUUGGUGUGCUAAUUUAUAGGCUCCUGGUCCAGUGGCUCGUAUCACCCGGUACGGGCCUUCCCACUUUGGGCCAAGAGCGCCAUGAUUAGGAUCCCUGGUGUUCUGGUUCACCUUCCUAAGUACCCAAUCUCCUGCUCGGAACUGCCUCACGCGCACGUUCUUGUUGUAAUAACGCAUGACCCUUUGUUGGCACUGGGCCACUUUCUGCACUGCCCCUUCCCUUUUCUCCUCCAGCAGGUCCAGACUUAAGCAAAUCUGCUCGUCAUUUUGCUCCUUAGUGAAAUAUUCCGUCCGAUGUGUUCUCACUCCAACCUCUGCUGGGAUUACCGCCUCAUGACCAAAGGCUAAAGCGAACAGUGUUUCUCCUGUGGUGGUUUUGUGAGUUGUCCUGUAGGCCCACAGUACUCCUGGUAGCUCGUCAACCUAAGCUCCCUUCUUCUCUCCCAAUCUAGUCUUUAGGAGCUUCUUUAUCACCUUGUUGGCUGCUUCCACUUGUCCGUUUGCCUGGGGGUGUGCGGGGGUGCAGAACUUCAGGUCCACCCCCAGGUUUCGGCAAAAUUCCCUGAAGUUGCCGUUGUCAAAUUGCCUCCCAUUGUCCGUGAUGAUGGCGUAGGGGAUCCCAUAUUUGCAGAUGAUAUUCUUCCAAAUAAAAUCUGUUGUCUUCCUCUCCGUGAUCUGGCUGAGGACUCCUACUUCCACCCACUUGGUGAAGUAGUCUAUUGCCACAAUUGCAUGUGUCGCCGCUCCUCGUCCCUUAGGCAAUGGACCAAUCAAGUCGAUUCCCCAUUGAGCGAAAGGCCAUGGGGAUGUCAUAGCCGUCAGCUUUUCCGGGGGUUGUGCAGGAACCUCGGAGAAGCUUUGGCAUGUUUUACAAUUCUUUGCCAUCCUUUUGGCAUCCUGGUGCAUGGUUGGCCAGAAGUAUCCUUGCCGGAGUGCCUUGAAGGCUAAAGUUCUUGCUCCCGAGCGAUUGCCGCAUAUUCCCUCGUGAAUCUCUCUCAGCACAUAAUCCGCCUCCUCAUCAUCCAAACAUCUCAAAAGGGGCAAGGUGAACCCUCGGCGGUACAGCACUCCAUCCAGUAGCGUAUACCUUGCUGCUCGGCAUUUUAAUUUUCUUGCUUGCCUUUUGUCCUAUGGUAAAACUCCAUCGCGGACAUAUGCGCGAAUCGGGUCCAUCCAGGAUUCUCCAGUACUUACUCUCAUCACCUCUGCUUCUUCCUCAAUACUUGGUGAGGUCCUUACCUCUAGUGGAACUGACUUCGGUAACUUUGGAUCUGCAAUGGCUGCCAUCCUAGCCAGCAUAUCUGCUCGGAAAUUCUCAUUCCGGGAUAUCUGCUUUACCUCCACUGCUUGGAAAAGCCCAACCAUCUGCUUCGCCUUCUUUAAAUAAAGACCCAUCUUCUCUCCCCUUGCUUGGAACUGAUCAUUGAGCUGAUUACACACCAGUUGGGAAUCUGCUCGAAUUUCUACCCUCUCUGCUCUUAGAGCGUGUGCAAGUCCGAGCCCGGUGAUAAAGGCCUCAUAUUCAGCUUGGUUGUUUGUGAGCUGAAAGUCAAACUUCACUGCAUACGUUAUUUCGGUUCCUUCUAGGCUCUGUAUUACAACUCCUGCUCCGGAUCCUUGCUCACUACAUGAUCCGUCAACCAUUACCAACCACAACCCCUCUGGUUUCUCCUGCUCUGCUGCUUGCUCCUCCCGAAUUUCUUUCCCUGUAUCGGCUCGGUCAACCAUAAAUUCAGCCAGAGCUUGGGCCUUGAUUGCUCCUCGGGGCCUGUAAGAGAGGUCGAAUUCACUUAGCUCUACGGACCAUUUUACUAGUCGACCCGAUGCAUCUGGUUUUUGAAGUGUUUGCCGAAGGGGCUGGUCGGUCAUAACAAUAACCUGAUGGGCCUGAAAAUAUGGUCGAAGUUUUCGUGCUGCCGUUAUUAGAGCUAGCGCCCACUUCUCCANNNNNNNNNNNNNNNNNNNNNNNNNNNNNNNNNNNNNNNNNNNNNNNNNNNNNNNNNNNNNNNNNNNNNNNNNNNNNNNNNNNNNNNNNNNNNNNNNNNNNNNNNNNNNNNNNNNNNNNNNNNNNNNNNNNNNNNNNNNNNNNNNNNNNNNNNNNNNNNNNNNNNNNNNNNNNNNNNNNNNNNNNNNNNNNNNNNNNNNNNNNNNNNNNNNNNNNNNNNNNNNNNNNNNNNNNNNNNNNNNNNNNNNNNNNNNNNNNNNNNNNNNNNNNNNNNNNNNNNNNNNNNNNNNNNNNNNNNNNNNNNNNNNNNNNNNNNNNNNNNNNNNNNNNNNNNNNNNNNNNNNNNNNNNNNNNNNNNNNNNNNNNNNNNNNNNNNNNNNNNNNNNNNNNNNNNNNNNNNNNNNNNNNNNNNNNNNNNNNNNNNNNNNNNNNNNNNNNNNNNNNNNNNNNNNNNNNNNNNNNNNNNNNNNNNNNNNNNNNNNNNNNNNNNNNNNNNNNNNNNNNNNNAGAUGCUUCACAUGAUCCGUCGUCUCUUUGGACUUUGUAAUCAUAUCAUCCACAUAUACCUCCAUAGUGUAUCCAAUCAACGGUUUGAAGAUCUUGUUUACCAACCUUUGAUAGGUGGCUCCUGCAUUUUUUAGGCCGAAAGGCAUUACCCUGUAACAAAACAAACCCAUGUUAGUUAUAAAGGCAGUGCUUUCCUCAUCCUGCUCGUCCAUGGGUAUCUGGUUGUAUCCAGAAAAGGCAUCCAUGAAACUGAGCAGACUGUGACCUGCUGUUGAGUCCACCAGCUGAUCUAUUUUGGGUAGGGGAAAACUGUCCUUUGGGCAUGCCUUAUUGAGGUCCGUGAAGUCCACACACAUUCUCCACUUCCCGUUGGCCUUUUUUACCAGGACUACAUUUGAAAUCCAUUCUGGGUACUUGGCUUCCCUUAUAAAUCCUGCUUUCAACAACUUCUCCACCUCGGCGUUUAUGGCCUCGUACCUUUCCUGGUUGCAGCAUCUCCUCUUCUGUCUCACCGGCCUUGCCCCCUUCUUGAUUGCCAACUUGUGGCAAGCUACCCCGCGAUCAAUUCCGGGCAUAUCUUCAUGAGACCAGGCGAAUAUAUCCGCAUGAGACUGUAGGCAAUUUACCAGCUCGCCUUUUACUGCCCCAAUCAAUCCUGACCCGAUCUUCACUACUCUGCUCGGGUUGCUUUUGCUUAUCGCAACUUCCUCCAGUUUCUCAACAGGCUCUUGGCGGCCCUUUUUAGACUCUCCUCGAUUAUCUAGAGAAGUAACCUGUAGUGUCUCCUUGGCCGCCGUAGCUUAACAACUCCUUGCCACCCUCUGGUCGCCUUUUACUACGCCAACCACCCCAUUUAUUCUGUAUUUCAGCGCCAAGUAAUGCGUGGAUACAACGCAUUGGCUUAUCCUCAUGAAUGGUCUCCCCAGUAUCAUCUGGUAAGGGCUUCUUUCCUCUACCACGACGAAGUCCAGCAUCAUCGUUCUUUCAAACGGCUUUGUCCCCACAAUAAUCGGGAGUUCAAUGAUCCCCAAGGGAGUUAACUGUCCCCCUCCAAAUCCUUUUAAGGAAGUAUUUGUCCGUUCCAGCUUUAAAUCUGAAAUCCCCAUAUCAUCUAGGGCUGACUUAAAUAGAAUGUCAACUGAACUGCCCGUGUCCACCAGUAUUCGCCGCAAUUCUGUGCUAGCCACCGAUGCUUUAAUUACUAGUGCAUCCUCAUGAGGAUAUAAAAUACCCUCUUCAUCCUCAUCUGUCCACAUAAUGGGAACUUGUCGCGCUUUUGCCUUCUUGGUUGCUGGCAAAUUGAAAAGCACUUCUUUGCUAGUCAGGGCGUAUCUCCCAUAGUUCUUCCGUGCCCUGUUCGAAUCUCCGGCCAAUGUUGGUCCUCCUGCUAUCACACGGAUAGUCGGCUGUUCACGUUCCAGAUCCCUCUCAACUCCCUCAUCCCGUGUGUACUGUGAUUCCAUGACAGGGGAUAUUCCAUCUACAUACUCGUCCAAGUAUCGGUUCCUCACUAAAUCCUCCACCUGAAUCUUCAGGUCACGACAUUGGCUGAUAGUGUGACCGUGAGUGUCGUGGAACUUGCAUAAUCGGCUCUUAUCCCGUCGGUGAGUCGGUUUUAUUAUUGGGGCUGGAGGGUACAACAGGCCUCGUCCCUCGAUCCUCUCAUACAAUUCCUCCAUGGAGAUCUUUAGCGGAGUGUAUUGUCUAUAUGCCAAGCUCUGGUCUACCAGCUGAACUGCUCGGCUAUCAUGAACGUCACCUCGGGAUGGCAUAGUCGCUGACUGAUCUGGUCGUCUAGCCCUGGAACUGGUUACGUGUAAUGCUCUGGGAGUGUUAUGAUAGCGGUCGGCAGCCAUCUGCCGGAAUUCUCGCUGCCGAUCCGGGAAUGGGGGACGUGGAGGUUGAGCCCGGUUGUGCUGGAACUGUUGUGAUCUCGGAGUUAUGGGGUAAGGGCGGGAUCGAGCUGAUGUUCCGCCCCUUACUGAGGGUUCCCCAGCUCGCUUUCCCGACCCGCUCCCAUUUGGAGUUCUCAUUUCCUUUCGUCUCAGCUCCUCCAGCUAUUCACUCUUUAUCUUUGCCGAUUUUUCUUCUUCGAUUUCGAUAUCUCUCUUUGCCUGCUCAUAUCCUGCUGAAUAAUUCUGCACCAGGGGGCUUCUCAGGUUAUACCAUAGCCGGCCUAUCCUCACACCCUCCUUUAAACCCCUCAACACCUGCGGGUGAUUGAAAGCUCCCAAAUCAAGUACGGCUCGGUGGUAUCGCUUUACAAAAUCCCGUAGGGACUCGUGCUCCUCCUGUUUCAUCCCCAUCAGUUCCAUCAUGUCGUCCUCUAGGGCUACUGCCCCUCGGAACUGCUCGGCCAACUCCUGGCACAUCUGCUCAUACCCCUUUAUACUUCCUCCGGGCAGCUUGCGGUACCAUUCUCGAGCUCGUCCCUCUAGUGUCAACGGGAACGCCCUGCAUCUCUGAGCUGAUGUCAGCCCCUGCACACCCGUCAUAUCGUUGAAACGCUCAAUGUACACCAGUUGGUCACUUCGCCCGGAGUAUUUGAGGUUGGGGAAGCGGAAAUCUCUUGGGAUUAUGAUACCCAUGAUCUCGAUUGAUAACAGAGAUUCUUCAUCUAACAUUAUCCUCCAGCUCGGGGGCUUUCUCUUGCCUUGUAUCUCCUCUAUCACCUGCGCCAACCUGCGCACCUCCCCCUCCAAUUCUAUAGCACGGCUAGGAUCACGCGCAGCUAUCUGGUCUCGCUUCUGCUCAGCGUUCUGCAACCGCUGUCUGAGCUCUCCUUCAUCAACACUGGCACCUCGGCCAGUAGUUUCCAGUACCCAUCCGGGGCGAGUUUGGUCUCUCCCUUCAUCCCCGUGUUCUCCUGGGACCCGGCCAGUACUUCUGUGGGGAUGCACCCCAUUAGGUUGGUCUGCGGGCGGAGGAAUGUCCUCGACUCUACGUCUCCGGAGGCUGGGUUCUGCUCCGACUUCAUCUCUUCCCACGGGGGUUUCACAAUCCCUUCUCCGCUCAUCCCUCAGCUCAAACAAUAUGGACGUGAGAGUCUCCAUUUGUUUCUCCAUCCGCUCCAGUCUGUCUUGCAUCAUCCUCUCUCGGGCUUCAUUCGCAAUUUCCCGGAGAGUGAUUGUCUCCCCAGCCUCGUUAUCCUCCCCAAAAGCGUCCUUUCUCGUCACAUCCAUGUCCAACCGUUCGCUAUUUCUCCGGUACUUCCUAAUUCGGUGGUAGCUUUUUAUCCAGCUCCCCACAGACGGCGCCAAAAUGUUGAUGCUUAAAUCUGCUCGCCUUUAGACCGACCAGAUUCUUUCACCAACGUUUGUGUUAUCUACUGUUGCUCGUUCACUGGGAUUGGAAUCGUCCUUCUUUCUCACAAUAGACCUGCGCUCACCAAAAACGGAUCAGAGACGCCGGUGGUUUUGCCGGCGUAAACCCUCCGAUGCUUAAGUUAGCUCAAGGUGUUUACGGGAAAACAGUGCAAUUUAGAUCUCAAAAUGGUUUCUAAAUUAUUCGGAGUUUAUAAGAAAAUAGCCUGGUUUCAAUUUGGCAGCGUUUCCCCUCUCUCAAUUUUUCCAUCCCCUUCUUCAUCGAUUUCUUCUUCUUUUAUAGCCGAUGUCCCCACGUUCCCGCUUGCCCUUCAUCCCACCUUUUUCGGGUAGUGGUAGCCUCUCAUGGGGCUCUAACUGCUGCAUUAUGGGCAAACGUGGGAUCUCGCGUCUCCCGCAACGGUUCUGGGAAAGCACAACUACCGUGAUUCUGUGAGAUCGUGUUUCCGCUUUUCGGGGGACGGGUACCGGCUCGGUAUGUGGCUCUGGUCAGUAUUCGUCUCUGAUCGACUCAUGUUACCCCUGUUCUGCUCGUACCAUUUGGCUGAGGUGAUUCAUGCCGGGGUGGAAGUAGUAUCCUGGCCGACCUGGUGCUUUUAUUUGCUUAACAUUGCCCAAGUGGUAUGCCUUUGUGGUCGUAAUUUUCAUUUGCAUAUACGUUGCCGCGUUUGCCUGGUCUUGGGGUCCUCUUGGAUGGUUAGUGCGCAGUGAAAUUUUCCCACUCGAAAUCCGGUCAGCAGCACAAAGCGUGAAUGUUUCUGUGAACAUGGCAUUCACAUUUUUGGUUGCACAAGUAUUCUUAAACAUGCUUUGCCAUCUCAAGUUUGGCCUGUUCAUUUUCUUCGCAUUCUUCGUCGUGCUGAUGACCAUUUUUAUCCACUUCUUCUUGCCCGAGACUAAAGGAAUUCCAAUCGAAGAAAUGGGUCAAGUGUGGAAGAAUCAUUGGUUCUGGUCCCGUUAUGUUGGCCAAGAUGAUUUCCUCGCCAAUGGAGGCCUAGAGAUGCACAAAGAAGAAACUGAUGUCAACAAUGUCUGAUCUGCAUGCUCAACUCCAUCCGGAUUUUUGUUUAGUUUCUAUUUUUAUUUUUUAUAUUUUUUAACAGUAAGUAGUAGUAGUACAGUUAUUCUGUCGGUUUAUUAUUCUAGCCUUAUCAAUGCCUUUUCUAUUCGACUUUAGUAGUGUUUAUUACAAUUUCUAAAGAAAUUAAUUUCAUGUAAGUUUUUACUUUAAUCAUUUUCCUUGUUUGGGUUCUCUGUUUUUCCUUUUUUUUUUUUUUUUUCAUCAGAAAUCGUCACUCUUACAAUUUGGACCAAGAAAUUCUUCACACAGGAAUCUGAAGAAAAAUUAACAAGGAUUGAAAAUUUUGACUUAUUGUUUAUCUUUUUUUUUUCUUUUCUCUUUUCCGUCUUCUCUUCUCAUUAAACAGACAUUAAGGCAAAAUUAAUAAAUUAUUUUAUUAUUGGUCUUAUCGUGAGUAGAAAAUCAUUGGUGCAAAUUCAAUUAUUUAGAUCAACAGAAAUUUUGGGAUAUGAAUCAAUGAGAAAAUUUUAAGUAUUCCUAAAAUAUUAUUCCUAUUUUAUCGUGAGUAGAAUAUGACCACCUUAUAUUAACUCAAGCUUUUUAUUUAAAAUUUUAACAUAAAUUCUCAUCUAUAAACUUUGUGGCAAAAUCUUAAGUUGAAAUAGGGAGAAAAAAAUCUAAAGAAUGUAUAAAAUUUGUAGAAAGAAAAGCCGCACGUGAGAUAUGUCAAAAUCAAAAUUCAUCAAUACAUCAAAUUUCAUAUACAUGGCAACUUAAACUCGCACAGUUCAAUGUCAAAAUUUAACUUUUAUCAAAAAGUAACGUUGCAUCCUCAUUUUACCUUUAACUCUAAGAGGUGUUGCAAUGGCCAAAGUAGCCAGUCAAUCUUUCUUUUGACGUUAUUUAAUCAUUCUGUACAGCAGAACACCCAUCAACUACUCUCAUCCUGGCCAUAGCUGCCUGCAUUGAGGAGUUGCUAAAGUUUAACAAUGAAAAAUAAAGCAACGAAAAAAUAAAUUUAACUUGAAUUAAUCAAGAACCUGUUUUUUCCAGUUUGUGAAAGUUGUAGCAAGAGAAAGAAGGGUGGACUGCACAACAGAGCCAGCCACUAUUCCGAUCCAAAGUCCCUUUCCUCUUAAAUGUGCUACAAAACCCAACACGGCACCCACUGGCAACCCAACUAAAUAAAAUGCCCCAAGGUUUAUGUACACCCUAUAUGCUGCCAUCCACACCCUUUCGCAACCCCUAUUGCAAACGUAGAAUCCACCUUUAUUAAGAAAUGAAAAUUUGAACCGCAUUUGAAUCCCAGAUGUUUUGUGGUUUGUGUAUUCAAGAGAUAAUUACCAACUGAUCUAGUCAACACCAACCUCUUGGAUGUAUACUUUAUAUGUGUGUGUCUAUAUAUAUAUAUAUAUAUAUAUAUAUAUAUAGCAUGUAUCUAUUUAACUAUUACGACAUUUACCAAAUGAUAUAUAAGUCAACAGUGACUCUUCAGUCUCCCAUAUUAUUAUCCAACAAAGACUUUAAUUGAAAGAAGUGUAAUUAGAAAGCAACUACUAACCAGAAAAAACAGCUUGUAAGCUGUCUGUAAUAACUGAGAGACAAAUCAGAGGAGCCAUAACAACAACAUAAUGCACAACUUGGUUGUCUUUGGUGUAAGCGUAACCCAAAAAAUAGCGGCAGCAGAAGAGGAUCGUGCCGACUAUCACUGCCUCUACCACAGCAUAACUUGUUGCAGCCCAUACAGCCACUCUAGCUGCUUGCAGAUUCCCAGCUCCAAGCUCAUUUGAAACUCGAGUACUAUACAUGACAUAUAUAUUAACAUGCACAUAGUCAAAUGCUAGCCUGCUCCAUUUGUAUUAUUUUAAAAAAAAUGCAAAUCACAGGGAGCAACCAAAAGCAAGAAAAAAAAAAGACCUUGCAGCUACUCCAAAAGCAUAUGGUAUUGUGAAGUGCAAUGUUGAAAUUGUAAGGCUGAUCAUAAAACAACAACGAUUAGAAGCAUAUACAGUUUAAUUCUAGGACAAUUUAUAAGUCAAAAUUAAAUAGUUAUAACUAAAAUAGGAGCUAAUUACCAAAUUGAAAGUACUGAAGUCUCCAGCUUGGGAUUCGGUAAAAGGCCGGAUAACAAAAUUAAGAUCUCCAUCGACCACCAUUUUAGACUAAUUAAUCACCAUAAUCGAUCACAAUAAGAGAGAGACUUUUGAGAUUAAAAGAGAAGAAACAACACAAAAAGCAAAAUUACCAUUCUAAGAGAUAAGAGGAAUAAUUACCAAACCAUUAUGGCAGAAGGUAUAGCCAAGCGAAAGAACUGUCCAAUGGCUAGUAAAGAUUCUUUAGAAACCGGCGCGCGAGUUUUCUCACAAGCUGAGGAGUACAUCAUGUACAAUCCGAGCAGUAUCACAUUCAACCAAGUUGAUAGACUGAAGGCUAGAGCUGCACCCAUGCUUCCUAAUUCUAGUUUGAACACAAGAGUCCAGCACGCAGGUAUAUGAAAACAUAGAAUUAGAAAAGAACUUGCAAACAUGGGAAGAAUCAAGCUCUGAGUCUGAAAGUAUCGGGUUAGUGGUUUCAGGAUUGCACUCCCGAAUAAUGCAGGGAUUAGCCACAUUGAAUACUUGCGUGCUUCGUGGGAGAUUACAGGAUCUUGGCCUAUUAGAGGUAACAAUUUGUCCAUAAAAAUCCACAACAGGCAAACUAGAGGGCAAACAAGAAUCAACGAAAUUAUGGCAGUGUAAGUAUGAACUCCAAGCUUCCGAAAUUGUGCUGCUCCAUAAGCUUGCCCACAUAGAGUUUCCAAUCCACCAGCCAUUCCUGACUGCUUGGCAAGUCCAAAUUAAAUUCAAUCAUUAAUCAUCAAAAUUAUCUCUAGGAUUAAUUAAACCUGAAGAUGAAGGUAAUGUGAGUAGAGAGCAGCAAACUUACUAGAAGACUAAAGCCGGUAACAUUUGUGAGAGAGGUGGCAAUGGCUACACUAGACAGGGCAAGCUGGCUUAGAUGUCCCACCAUUACCGUUGACACAACUUGCAGAAGGUACUGCAACACAGAGACUGCCACCAUUGGUGCCGCGAUACGGCCAGUCUUCUUCAGCUCUUCCAUAAAUCCACCCCAUGUAAUUGCCCAUCUCUUCUCCUGGCUCUCUCCAACUUCCAUAUCCAUGCAAAAUUGAUAAAUGAUAAUAAUGAUGGUAUCUUAGUUUGCUUUGCCACUAUUAAUAAAAAGAGCCAAUCCAAAGAAACACGAAGUUUGUAUGCUGUCCUCUGUUUUGGCUUUACUUGAGAAUUCAAUAUUAACGAUUUUAUGUUUUGACUGUUCAAAAGAGCAUGCCGAGAGGUUCAAAUUAGUGGACUCUAAUUCCCAACUUUCUGUUGUUUAUAAUCAUUAUUAUACAUUCCCCACGAGCACGGCACAGACAUGAGUAAUGCGGCAAGGGUGCGUUUCGCACACUGCAUUGUAUUAUGUUGUAUUGCAUUAUUUUAAUAUUGGUGUAUUAUAUUAUGCUGUAUUGUAUUAGCAUUGUAUUAUAAUAAUGUUAUAUAAUGUUUGGUGUUAUACUGUACUGUAUUAUUUUUUUAAUUAAUUUAAAUUAAAUAUUAUAUUAUAUUAAUGUUUUAUAUUAUAUUAAUAUAUUUAAAUUGCAUUAAUAUUUUAUGUUAUUAUUUAUAUUAUUAUUAAUUUUAAAUUAAUAUUAUUCAAAUUUAUUCAUAUUUAAAUAUUUUUAUUAGUUAUAAUAAGUUAUAAAUUUAUUAAUAAAUUAUAAUGUAAAAAUAAAAAAUAUACUAUUAUUGAAUGAUAAAUUAUUAAUUUAUUAAUUAUAUUAAUAAUUAUAAUGUAAAAAUAAAUAAAAUAAAAAUAUUAUAUUAAAUUAAAAACCAUAUUUAUUUAUUAUUUUAAUAUUAUAAUAAUAAUAAAGUGAAAAGCAAAAUAAAAUUAAAAAAAAAAAAACAAAGCUAAUGCGUCAGUUGACGCAUUAGCCUCCCACCCCAAUCCCUUGCAAUUUUAUUCCAAACAUAGGUUUGGUAUUAUGUUAAUGUAAACAGUAUUAUAAUAUCCCCUUAAUACUAUAAUCAAACACACCCUAAGAUAAUUGCUGGUGUUUAAUCGGUCAGAUUUUUCAUCUUUUCUCGAUCUUUUGAAAAAUCAUAAUAAUGAUUAUAAUAGAUCCCCAGACACGUAGAUGGGAUUGAGAUUUUGUCUGAUAUGGCUUGAUUUGAAGUAUUUUUUUAUAUCUGCAAUUCUGCAUAUAGUAAGUACAAUCAUAUCUUCUGAGUGAUAGACUUCAUUUUUGGCCGUUCUGAACAAAAACUAUGUUCAAUGACAGUACUGAACUCUAAAUUUCAGUGGAAUAUAAUAAAGGAGAGGAAUAAAAAAGCAUAUUGCAAAUUGGAUGUACUCUCUCACAUCUGAAUCAUUUAAUAAUUGCUUUUGGAAGCACAUUUUUGACUAGUUACUACAUAAUAUCAGCUUAGAAGAAACAGAUGCGAUUCCCCUAGUGGCUUUCAAAUUGCAAUCAGUUGUACGCGAGCGAUUCCUUAACAGAUGAGAAGAAAGAAAAAUGGCAAAAAAGGAAAAAAAACAAUUCUGAUGUUUUCAGGAGUCAGUAGAUGCUGUUGAAAUACAUAUUUUUCACUGUCCUCCCCUUAACUAUGUUAGACUUUAUGUCUAAAUUCGCACUUGUCUCCCAAGAUUUUGAUGGACUGUUAACAUGGAUGACUAAAUGAAUAAAAAUACAUAGACGCCCCUGAUUUGAAGCAAAAUCACCAUGCCAGGAAACAAAACAGCUCGUGUAUAAAGAGAUGACAGUGUUAAUUUCGACAAAAAGAAACUGUGGGUUGGACAAAAUCCAUGAGAGGAUAGUGAAAAAUAUAUAUUUUGAUAUAAUGUAUAUAGUAUAUCAUUUCAAAACUCAAAAGUCGUUUCGUUCUUUAAAAAAAUUCCACUGCUUUAAAAUUAAAAAUCACAUUUAUAAUUAAUUUUUUUAUCAAGUUCUAAAUCCUUUUAUUUUGUCAACAUCCUAAAAUUAUAAUAAGAAUUAACUAUGCUUUGAUUGAUAAAACUAAUGGGGAUUUCGUUCUUAUUUGAUAAAAUCAAUAGUCAUUUCGUUCUUAUUUAAUGUGUUUCCAACUUGUGAGCAAUGGGAGGUAGAAAGCAAACUUGUCCACUUUCAAUUCCCAAACUCAUAAGAAUCAGACCUUUUUUUUUUCAAAUGAUCAAAUAAAUACAAUUGGCUACUUUGACAGACAGGAACAAUACAAGUGUCUUAACAUGUCGAUCAAAUGGCCAAAAGUAAGACGCAAUCCCUAAGUCUAACUUACAAUUGCUAAAAAUAACGUAAAAAUGGACCAGUAUCAUCAUUUUACCUCGUCUUUAAUGGUUGUCAGUUACACUAAAUAUAUUUUAAGGAGACAAUAAUAAUAAUAAUAAUAAUAAUAACAAUUUGAGUAGAAAUUAUCACGAACAUAUUCCUGCAUAUCUUAACAUCUUCAAAGAUAUGUGACUUAUUGAUGUGACGCUCCAUUUUAUCAAACAGUUGCAUCAGAAAAUUCUGAAGGGACUACAAAUGCCUUUUGAUGCAUAGAAGAUUUACAUUACUGACAAACCAAGGACAAAGCAGAAAGAAGCAAGUUUCGAUUUGUUUCUCAGCCAAAAAUCAAGUUCUUCCAUUAUCUUCUGUCUACUUCUUCCCCUAUUAACUCCAAUUUUUGCUCAGACCCUUGGUUUUGGAAUUGGGCAAGUAAUUGGAGGAGUCAAAGAGAAAGAAAGUAAACAAAAUAUAAAUAUAUAUAUCAGCAACUCCCUAGAUCUAAUCUGCUUCUGGCUCAGUUAGGUGAUCAGUCAUUAAGAUCUAUUGCCUCUCCACCUUCUUACUAGUACUCCCAGCCCUUUAGAGCAAAUUAUUAAACCAACCCUCGGAAAGUUCAGACACAUCCUUUGUAUUCCAACUGUGCAAGUGUAAUGUUAACCUAAGGUUCUCUUUCUUUUCAUUUGUAUGCUUGAAGAAAAAUCAACAAGAAAAUGCAAUACCAGCAGGUAUUAUUUGUAAUUCAUAUGGAAAUUAUCAUUAACAUAUGCCUACAUAUCGAAAUCUUCAAAAGGUUGUCAGAGUUUAUCCGCAGCAAUCCAAUCUAUUUUAUCAAAGACAGAAAAACUUAUGUUCAAGCAGAACAAUCAAAAGGGAAAGUAAAUGCCCGAAUUUUGAGCUAGCACCAAUAAAUUGAAGAUGUACAUUAUUGACAAGCCUAGAACAAUAUCAGCUUGAAAAGAAGCAGAUAAAAGCACAUAUUUAGACAAGAGAAACUUACAAACUACCUCAGUUUUUGUGCUGCAGUUGGGACACCAGAUGAACUCAAGUUGGCCCUUUCUGAAUCGUUUGCUGCACGAAAGCCAGCUGUAAUAAAUGUUACUAUUGAUCCCUAUGCCAGUACAAACUACCUCAGUUUUUGUGCUGCAUCCUACCACUUUCUGCACCGGCAUAGGGUUCAAUAAUAACAUUUAUUAAAGCUGGCUUUCGUGCAGCAAACGAUUCAGAAAGGGCCGACUUGAGUUCAUCUGGUGUCCCAACUAAAUAUCCUUUUCCCCCAAAAGCUUCCAUGAGCUUAUGAUAAGCUGCACCAGGUACAAAAGAAGUAGGUGCAGGAUCAUCUUUGAAAGGCCCUGCAAUUUCUUCAGGGUUUCUGCGAUCUCCACCAUACACACCACCAUUAUUAAAAACUAUCACGACAACAGGCAACUGAUAUCGAACCAAUGUCUGCAAAAUCAGAAGAAACAGAGACCACAUUAGUCUCUUUUUCCUCUCCCACCUUUUUCCAUUUAUUGGAUGAGGAUAUGCUAUACGUAUGAAUCAACUUUGGACUUAGACAAAGUAAAAUUCAUUUAUUCCAUUAAUUGAUUAACAUUGACACACUAUCUUCUAAAAAUUCAUUUAUUCCAUUAAUCAAUCUUCUAACUACACAGAUAUGCAAACAUCCAAGUGCGAGCACAUCACAAGCACAAAUUCUCAUUUUUCAUUCAGAAGGAAAGUGAAAAAGAGGGGGGGAAAAUGGAAGGUAUCUACAAUAAAAAACCCUCAUCUAAGUCACACAUCAAUGAAGAAUGCAAUAGAAGAAAUCUUUCCACUAAAUACAGAAAGAUGCACCAAGAACUACCCUUCUGAAAGCAAGGCAGCAAUUACGCAAGUUCGGAUUAGCUAAAACUAAAUCCGACAGUGGCCAUAUAGCAUUUGAUAAUUACAAGACUACUCGUUCACUAGAAUAGAACCAGCAUCAAAAGAAACUCAAAUAUCCAAAUCGUAAGAAAAUUAAGGAUAUAUUGAGAAAAGGAAGACACAGGGGAUAAAAGCCAUUUAGGAACCGUACCAUCAACUAUCGAUCCCUGAGAAAAAAGGAAAUGAGCUAGGAAACUAGAUAAAGUAAAACCUAAACAGUAUGUCCUAAAAUCAAGAAGCCAGACUGCCUGUAAUGAGCAAGCGAAGUUUUCCAAAUUUGUGACCAUCAUCCCAGUAAAUAAUGAAAUGCUUUAGAACGCAUGAUAAAGUUGAUGCUGGCACUCAAAGCUUUAAACAAGCAAGAUUUGACUUCCCAAACUAAGGUAGUCAGUCUCUCCCAUCAAAUAGAGAAGGAUCCAGUACAAGCUGAUGAUCAAAACUUAGAUUUGCCUAUAUCCACUUGAAACUGCAUCAGCCUUCAAAUUCUUCAAAAGUUAUUACCAUAGGAAGACAACUCACAAAUGUCCUAAAUCUUUAAAAUCUAAUAUUAGACCAUUGGAGAUGUGCCGCAGAUUUCAAUAUUAAAGCGAAAGUAGAAUAAAAUGGAACGCUAAAGAGAAUCUUAAAAUAACAAAAUAAUCAUAAAUGACUAGCAAUUUGCAUCAUGUUUGUUGAUGAAUUAAGGAAGUCAAGCAUGGUGUACAAGUUUAUUCUUGUGAAUAAAAUGUAUGCAUAAAUAUCGUUAUAUGCUAGAGAUCAUAAUUAUGCAAGAGAGCCAUACCUCAACCUCAACCGCACUGAACCCAAAUCCAGAGUCUCCUUCAACAGCAACCACAAGCCGUUCAGGGCAAGCUAUUGCAGCAGCAAUGCAAUACCCUAAACCAACCCCCAUGGUCCCCCAAGUCCCUGCAUCCAGCCUACAACGAGGCUCAGUUUGAACCAAUACUGCCCUACCCACAUCCAUAGUAUUUGCCCCUUCAGAUACCAAUAUAGGAGCGGGGCUCCCGACUCCUAAGAUCGCAUCUCUUAUAAUCCUCAUUGGCGUCAUGAAAUUAAACGGCACAACAUCCUUCACCAACUGAACCUCCAUUUUCAACACAUUGUCAUUCGUUUUCUUCCAAAUAGCCUCAACCCAAGGAUGAUUUUUCCCCAAACAAAAAGGUUCAUCUUUAAUCUCCUUAUUAAUCAUUUCCAACACUUUUUUAGCAUCUCCAACCAAACCCAAGUGUGGUUUCCUUAACUCAAUCUCUUCCUUGCAAACAUCAACCAAAACAAACUUCACAUCCUUCGACCACUUCGGUGGCUCACCAAAAUGCAACAACCAAUUAAGCCUCGCACCAACAACAAGCGCAACAUCACAUUGACCUAUGGCUAAUGACCUCGCAGCGGUAGCAGCAAGCGGAUGGGUAUCAGGCAACAGACCUUUACCCAUUGGAGUAGGCAAAAAUGGAAUCCCAGUGCUUUCAACUAAUUUCUUCAAUUCACCCUCAGCUCGCGCAUAAGCUGCGCCUUUCCCAAACACAAUCAACGGCUUCUUUGCUUCUUUAAGCAAAGACACCGCUUUAUCGAUAUCAGAAUUCACAAUCCCCCCUUGCGUCACCGUUUCUUUGGCACUCUCCGCUUCCUUCAGAAGCUUCUCCGCUUCAGAUACCGAUAUCGUUUGAUGUAAAACAUCAGUGGGUAGAUCCAAAUAACACCCGCCGGGCCGCCCCGAAACAGCUCGUUCAAGAACCUGAGCGACACACUUGGGAACUUCCGUAAUGUCCUUCGCUUUUACAGCAAAUUUCGAAAAAGGCUUGACGGCUUCCACUUGGUCGAGUUCUUGAAAAUCGCCGCGGCCAAAAUCUUUCUGAUCGCAGGAGCCGGAUAUCAUGACGAUUGGCCACGUGUUAAUCAUCCCAUUCGAGAGACCAGCCAGACCGUGCACGUAACCCGGACCGGAAACAGUUAACAGAAUGCCGGAUUUUCCAGUCAGGUAUCCGUAGGCGGAGGCGGCGUAGCCAGCGGACUGCUCAUUGUGGAAGGCGAUGAACCGGACGCCGAGCUGGACGGCCCGGUUCGCUAAGGAAGUAACGGGAAUGCCCACCACGCCGAACAUGUGGGUGGCACCGAAUAGUGACAAGGAUUUGGCCGCCAGGGUGUUGCCGUCGAUCUGGGCAUUUUGGGAAUUUUGCAACUCCGAACCCGCCAUUGCUUGCUAGAUGUGUGUGUUUGUGCUAAUGCCCGAGUGAGAAGUGGACGGGGCAAGGGUAAACAAUUUUUUUUUUUUUUUUUUACCACGAGUUAUUUUGGGGUGGAUUAACAGUGGGAGAUACUUCAAGUUCCUAUCAUAAUUUAGAGAGAGACACUUUUAAGUUCGUACCAUAAUUUAAAUUAAAAGUUUAAGUUCUCUUAAUAAAAAUAACUUUUCUAUAACUUAAAUUAAGGAAUAAAUUCAGUCAAACCACUUAAGAAAAAUUCAUUGUCAAUGGAACAACACUUUAUUGGUAACAAAUUCAGCUUUAGGUUGUUGAUAUAUACAUAGGUAAUGGACGAAAUGUCUAUCAUGCCCUUUCCGGCGAUGGUAGCUGGGACAGGUGCCAAUUUUUUUGCAAAUGCGACCAAAAUGGAUAGCUUCACCCAUAAAACGACAUAACUGGUAGUAGGUAUAGCGACAAUGCUUUCCCGAUUAUCAUUAUAUUUUUCUCUGUAGUUAUAAAUAAAGGUGACAAUUUGUUUCCAAAAGUAUCGUUAUUAAUCCUCAUCCGUUGAAUUAUAACACGUAAUUAUUACUUAGGGAUGAUAUUGCUUAAUCGGAAAGAAGGAUGUAAUAACUUUAAAAAAAAAAAUACAUAUGACAUAUAAGAGCAUCAUUAGAAAAUUCUUUUAAUUUAAUUUUUUAAAUACUUAUUUAUUUAUAUAUGUUAUAAAUAGAAGAGAGAAAAUAUCAUUUCUCAUAAGACUUUUCAAAUAAAAAUAAAUUUAUACUAUUUUACUCAAAUUUUUUCUUUCAUUAAAAUAAUAACAAUUAUAACUAUUCCAUCUCUUUAAAAGUAAUGAAAUAAAAAAUAAUAUAGUACGAAAUUAAGUGUUCUAAAAGACUCUCUAAAUAAAUUUUUUUAAAUUUCAAUAUGGACAAUUUUAUUUAAAAAUUAUUUAAAAACUCUUUUUAUUAACAUAACUCUUUAAAUAAAUAGUAAAUUUUCAUUAAAUUUUUUUUUUAAAAAUGUCUAUAACGAGAAAAAAAAUAUUAAUAGCAAGGGUUUGGCUAUGUUGGAGUUCACCUACGGUGGAGAACGAAUCUCAGCCACAUACACAAAAUGAUAAAGAAUAAAUAAUGAGUUAUAAUGAGUUUUUUAAUAUUUAUUACUUUGCGUGUGUGGUUGAGAUUCGUGUUCCACAGUAAGUGAACUCUAACAUAAUCAUAGCCUAACAACAAUUACCAAAUCAAAUCUUUGAGCACAUGAUUUUAUAUGGGCUUCUACAAAUUGUGGACAUCCAUAAAUAAAUUAGAGUUCAUAACCGAUUCUUGCUCUGACAUAUUCUGUUUAAUUUUUAAUUUAGAAUUUCUCAGUUACAAUUUACAACUCUUAUAUUCCUAUACAUGAAUUGCAAUGCCUUGGAUGCUUGUGUUGAAAUAUGAUGCAACCGAAGCAUGUGUGACGUUGUAUGACAUGUCAUGUAUAACGAAAAAAAAUGUACGACUUGUCAUCCUUAAACUAAAAGACACGUAUGACAAAAAAAAAAUGGUUAUCUCCAAUUUAUAUUUCCGAUUACAAUAGUCAUUGAUUCAGUGCUCAGCAAAGUUAAAUCCUAGUUCUAAUAAUAUACUCAGGGUUUUAUUUAUUUAUUUUGUAUUUUUAGAAAAAAAUAUUUGACUAACAAUCAUCAAGAUUGACUAACAUAUAUUACUUGACAACAAAUAAAGAAACUACUGCUCAAGAGACACUUUCAACAACGCAUAGACGUGAGGUAAAUAACAAGAGUGAAUAGACACUUAGGUAGUGUUUACUUGUUGUAGUAGGAGUAAGGAGUCUGGAUUCCUCCUACUCCAGUGUUUACUUACUAAUUUUAAAGGAGGAGUGAGAAUCCUACUCCUUGGGACCCACUUUUUUUUGGAGUGGGGAGUGGGAAUCCACUCCCCUCUCUUCCAUUUUUAUCCUAAUAUUUAAUUAAAUAAAAUAAAUAAUAUUUAAUUAAAUAAAAUAUUAUUAUUAUUUUAUUUUAUAAAUUAUACUUAUUAAAAAUAAUAAUUUAUAUUGAUUCUAAGUUAAAAUUACUUAAAAAUAAUAUUAUUAUACUCACAGAGAAUUAAUAAUAUUACUAUAUACUCUUUUUAUUUGAAAAUAUAAUAUUAUUAUAUUUAUUUAAAAAUAAUAGUAUUAUAUUUAUUUAAUAUUAGUAAUUAAUAAUAAUCAAUAUUUUAUUCUAAGAAAAUAUUAAUUUUGUAUUAUAUUAUUAAUAAUAAUGUUUCAUUUGUGUUGCUCUUAAUAAUAAUUUUUUAUUUACAUAAUUAAAAUUAAAUUUAAUAAAAAAAUAUUUACAUAAUUAAGAAUAUUAUUAAUUAUUAUUAAUUUAAAAAUAUAAUAAAAUAAAUAUUUUAUUUUUCAAAUCUAUUUUUUUAUUAAUUUUGUAAUUAAAAACUAUAAUUCUUUAAAUAAGGAUAAAACUGUAAUUUAAAAUCAUUUACUCUCAAUUCUAUGCUCUCAUUCCAGUGUAAGUAAACAACUUAUUCCCACUCCCACUCCAUACUCUACACUCCUAAUCCCAAAAUUCUCACUGCUCAUGAUUCCCACUCCAAUCUAAAAUGUAAACGCACCAUAAUUAAUUGAUUGAUAAUCGAAGUUCGAAGCCUCAGUGUGCUAACAAGCAGUAAAGUCAACAACACUAAGCUAUAAAUGGCAAACGUUAAUGCUCAUGAUGACAUCCAAAUCAAGUUCAGAAUCGUUGAACAUUUGAAAACAAUCACAACAGGAAGCUAUAAAUGGCAAAAGUAUGGAGGUGCCACUAUUGCCUGAGAGGGAAGAAGAGAGGAAAUGGGUGGUGGUGGUGCUACCACGGCUAUCCUUUUUGGAAGAGCUGAAGACGUUGAGCUUCUUAUCAGCGCCGCCGGCAGGGGUGGCCUGUUUUCGGUUCUUUUUGCUGGCUACAGCAACGAUGAUGGUGGGACACCUUGGAAAACUUUCACUUGAUAGUAUUGCCAUUGCUAACUCCUUAAUUAAUGUCAUCGGCUCCAUUCCACUUGUAAUAUUUUCUUCAUUCCCUUUUCUUUUUACCAUUAGAAAACUGCUUUACUUCUUCUUCUUCUUUGUUUCACAUCAAAGCAUGCUUCGUUUAUUUAAUCUAAUGACACUGCUUUGUAUGCCUUUUGUUUUGUAGCAAGUUAACAAUUUGCUUGUGCUCGCUAGAAAAUUGUUUAAAUGACUCAAUAUAAUCCACACAGCAAUAAUAUAACAAUAGCUAUUUUUAAAUCCAGAUCAACGACAAGCAACCACAACUAUAUGGUUAAACAAGUUAAAUCAAGCUCGUUUAGCUAUAAUAAGCAAUCAACUUUAGAACUUUAGCUUGACUUUCAUAGGUGAGAAUACCAAGCAGGUCUAUUUUGACUAGGCUAAGAUCAACAAAUUAAUAAACUUUGAUUAAUUAUUGGCGAAGAAUUAAUCAAUAUUACUUGGAAGAUAUUAAGAAACUUUGUUCACCUUUUCUGUCACUGGUCCAAAUAAUUUAUGAAGUACUUUUUUGAGCCUUUUUUUUUUGGAAAGGUAGUACUUUUUGAGCUUGAACAAGCAUUAUUAUAACUGAUCUUAGUUUACUCCAUAUUUUCCAUGCUACCGCUGUUUACAUAAAACGGAUUUUGGGAGAAUAGCAUAUAUUUCAUCAAUAAUCAAUUGAGACAUAUAAGAUUAGCCAACAAAAUGAUAUCUAAUGUGGACAAUGCCAUUAAAUUUUGAGCAGUUUGGUUUUGCCUCUGCAUUAGAGACUCUAUGUGGACAAGCUUAUGGAGCAGAGCAAUAUCAAAAGAUUGGAACCUAUACUUACCCUGCUAUGUUCUUUUGCAUUGCAAUUUGUAUCCCCAUCUCUGUUCUUUGGAUAUUCAUGGACAAAGUACUAAACUGCUAGGCCAAGACCCUGAUUUUUUUGUCGAAGCCUGCAAUUACGCAAUUUGGCUCAUACUGACAUUAUUUGGCUAUGCUAUUCUUCGAUCACUAUCUCACAAUCUCCAGGCUCAGAGCUUGAUUCUGGCAUUGUUCUUAAGCUCAUGUGCAACUCUUUGUUUGCAAAUUCUUCUUUGUUGGGGUCUAGUAUCUAAAACAGACUUUGGAAAUACAGGAGCAGAAUUAACCAUAGGUAUUUCUUAUUGGUUCAAUGUGAUCAUCCUUGCACUUUACAUGGGAUAGAACUCACACGGUGAUCACCAAGGAAAUUUUCCCUAGCACGAAGGAGUUCUCCUUCUUUGCACACCUUUCAGUUGUAAUGUUUUGGUAAUUUGCCUAUCGUACUUUGCAAUGUUUUUGUUAGUUUUCUGUUCUUAUAAAUUGACUUACAGUGUGCCUUUUGUUUCCAAUAACUAAAGUCUCGAAUGGUGGUCAUAUGAGAUUCUGGUACUGCUGUCUUGAAUAUUACCAAAUCCAAAACUUGAAACAUCAGUUCUUACAAUAUGGUACGUAUCUACACUUACGGUUUUGACUUUUGAGUAAACGGGGAAAAUUCUCAGUAGGGUUGAAUUGAUUUCCUUUGCUCUUCAUAUGCAGCGUUACAAUCCAGUCAACACACCAUUUUAUGCCAUUUGGUAUUAGUGCUGCCGCAAUGUUUGAUCUAUAUGUUGUUUCAAAAGCAUGCACUUACGAGUAAAUGAAAUAAUUCAUUACCUACUAGUUAAAAAAACCCUGAUUAAUUCUGUGUACUGAGCUGUAUCGCAAUCCACCGUUGUGCAGCACUCGAGUGGCAAAUGAAUUAGGAGCUGGAAAUCCAGAACCAGCUCGAUUGUCUACAUGUGUCGUGAUAUUUCUUGCAGUUGCAGAGGCAGCCAUAGGAAGCGUAGCUCUAUUCUGCUGCCGCAAUGUUUUGGCAUAUUUGUUCAACACUGACAAGGACGUUGUGAAUUAUGUGUCUGAAUUAGUUCCUCUGCUUAGCACUGCCAUUUUCAUGGACAGCAUGCAAUCAGUACUUUCCGGUCAGAAUCCCAUCAUUCUGUCAGGACUUUUAUUUUCACUCUUUUCACUCAGCUAGUGCUUCAGAGCUUGAAAAAGAUUUGAUGAUUUAUUUCUCACCAUUCACUUUCCUUAUCACAAGUAGCUAGAGUAAUUGGGUGACAGCACAUAGGAGCUUACGUAAAUCUUGGUGCAUUUUAUCUUGUUGGAAUUCCGGUAGCAUCUGUGCUAUGUUUUGUUCUUCAUCUUAGAACAAAAGGCCUUUUGCUCGGAUUAAUCAUUAAUGCCAGGCUCAACUGUCGCAAUUGCGCUCGCCAUCGUUACUUCUUUAACAAUUUGGGAAAAACAGGUUUCUAUUUCAUUUCACACUUUUUUCAAAUUAUCUGCUUCUUCAGCAGUGAGUUAUCCUUUAAUUUUGCUGGCUGACAUUGAUCUUUCAUGUGGAUAUCUUUCCAGGCUACCUUGGCCAGAGAGAGAAUAAUUAAGGGAGCAUCUUCAACUGAUAAUAGAUCGGUUCGAUGCAAAACGUAAUUAAACAUUUUGUUUCCAUCGUAUCAAAAUUUCUUAGGAUGUGAGCUGCGAGUAUAUACUGUUACAAAACCAAGACCAAUUUUGGACAAUGCUAUUGUUGUGGCAAUUAAUUUAUCGAAAACUUGGUGUGCAGAAGCAAACCCAAGAAUUUUAAGAGCAAACAAUGUCCAAAUCACCAAUACAAUCAAUUUUGUGAAAUUGAUUCACAAGGCUACGUCCUCGGAUAAUUCCUAGAUUUACCAUGAAAUUUUACAUUUAAAAGAAGCAUGAUAAACAUCCUUUAUUUUAAAAUUAUGGAUUCUCUCAUGAUUUAAAUUCUCGUAGGAGCAAUUCAUAGUGGUGAUGGUUAUUAAUAUAUAAAAAUGUAAUGAUAGUUUAGUUUAAUCCCAACCAUUAUUUGUGACAAACACUUGGCGCAAGAUCUUAGACUCUUAAAUCGAAAUGAAUAAAUGUUUUAAACCUCAGUCGCAUUUAAACUUGUAUAAACUAAAAAUAGUCAAUUUCUAUUUUAAAUAAUCACAUUUAAGAUAGUUUAUGUGUUGAUCAAAUACUUGUUUAGACUUGUUUAGGCUUUCAAACUAUAUAUGUUGAUCAAAUACACUGAGUAUGAGAUGUGGCUUGCAAAACAGCUAAGGCAAAAUAGUCCCCAAAUAAUUAAACCAGAUUAAUUUCCACAACUGACAAAUAGAAGUGUCGUACAUUUUUCAAAGAGCGUGUCUUAAUCGUGCCGAUUAACAUCCAAAAUGUCUUUGUUAUUAGUCGAUUACUACUAGCUAUUAUUGUUAUUAUUAUAACAGUUACCACGAAAACAUCGUCGAGAUAUUUCAUCCAUCUCACCCCAUUUUCAUGCACAAAUAAAUUGAAAAAGAAAAAUCACUUAUGAAUGAUGAGAAUCGAGCCUCUUGCAACAUAUCUACAUGGUAUAUUUUAACCAGGCACUGAGUGUAGCUAGGGACAACAUGCGAUGGUCAGCCUCUUGCAACAUACCUAAACUUCAGUAUGAUUGGUAAUCAACAAAAGUACUAGUCAAUCUUGACUUCAAACUCAAGGGAAGCAUCUUUAUCCGAAUUAAAGAGAUCCAGUCUAUCAUUUAUUGUUGUAUUGUUAGCAUACAAUUAUUACCAGAGAAUACAAGCAUAUAGAGGUUCUGCCCGAGGCUGAGAACGAAGAAGAGAAGAAGAAAUGGGCGGUAACACGGCGAGCGUUUGUGCAAGAGCUGAAGAAGGUGAGCUUCUUGGCAGCGCCUCUUGCCGGGGUAACUGUUUUUCAGUUGCUUUUGCCGGCUGUAUCAACGAUGAUGGUGGGACACCUUGGAAAACUUUCGCUUGCUAGCAUUACCAUCGCCACCUCUCUCACCAAUGUCACUGGCUUCACUCCACUCGUAAUUUUUUUUUCUUAAUUUUUACCAUUAAAAUGCCCUUCUAUAUAGGGCGUUACUUUUGAUUCUAUUUUCUUUUCUUUACUUUAGCUUGACUUUCAUGGGUGAUCAGAGCAAUCAACUUGAUAAAAUAGUAAGGGUAUAACAAAGGUUUUUCAUCAAACAAACAGUUUUAUAUACGUAUUUAGCUUAAAAGCUAUAGCUGCUAGGAAGCAAUACCAAAAGGAGUCUGAAUAUAUAAUUCGCUAUACCAUUCCACUCACCAGAGCGAAUAAUAUUUUCAUGUUCUGCUUGAGUUUGAACAAGAAUUAUACUCUAACUAACCAUUUUGGUGUGCUACUGUACUUAACUAGAUUUGCGAUAAUUGCUUAUAUGUUUCUUCUUUAUUUCAAUCUGUUAAGAUUAGCCUGCAACAUGAUAUCUUAGUAUUUGUGUUUCUGAAUCAGUACAAACUUGUCAAAUACAUGUAUAAUGUUGACGUUAACUUUAAAUUUUGAACAGUUUGGUUUUGCCUGUGCAUUAGAGACUCUAUGUGGACAAGCUUAUGGCGCAGAACAAUAUCAAAAGAUUGGGACGUAUACUUACUCUGCUAUGUUCUUUUGCAUUGCAAUAUGUCUCCCAAUCUCUGUUCUUUGGAUAUUCAUGGACAAAAUAUUAAUGCUGCUACACCAAAACCCUCAGAUUUCUGUUGAAGCCCGCAAUUAUGCAAUCUGGCUUAUACCAGCAUUAUUCGGCUAUGCGAUUCUUCGAUCACUGUGUCACAAUCUCCAGGCUCAGAGCUUGAUUCUAACAUUGUUCUUAAGCUCAUGUACAACUCUAUGUUUGCAUAUUCUUCUUUGUUGGGUUCUAGUGUUUAAAGCCGACUUUGGAAGUACCGGAGCAGCAUUAUCCAUUAGUAUGUCUUAUUGGUUCAAUGUGAUCAUCCUUGCUCUUUACAUGAGACACUCUCCAUCGUGUACAAAAACUCGCACUUUGAUCUCCAAGGAAAUUUUGCCUUGCAUGAAGGAGUUUACCGCCUUCGCUCUCCCCUCGGUUUUCAUGUUUUGGUAUAAUUUGUCAAUCUCACUUUGCAAUGUUAUUGUUAGUUUCUGUUAUUAUUGGUUUACUUACAGCGUGCUGUUUCGUUCCCAAUAAUUAUAGUCUUGAAUGGUGGUUCUAUGAGAUUCUGAUAUUACUGUCGGGACUUUUACCAAACCCCAAACUUGAAACAUCAGUUAUAUCUAUAUGGUACACUUCUGACAUCACUUGUGGUUUGCUUUUGGUGAAUUUUUUGGGGAAACUCUCAAUAGGGUUGAAUUGAUUUUCUUUGAUCUCCAUAUGCAGCUUUACAAUCCAGGCAACACACUAUUUUAUACCAUUUGGAAUUGGUGCUGCCGCAAGGUUUGAUCUAUGUCCUAUUUCAAAAGAGAUGCAAGUGGCAUAUGCAUUAUUUCUGUGUACUGAGAUUUUCUGUAGCAUUCGAGUGUCAAAUCAAUUAGGAGCUGGAAAUCCACAGCCAGCUCGGUUGGCUACCCGUGUUGCGGUGGCUCUUGCUGCCGCAGAGGCAGCCAUAGUGAGCAUAGCUCUAUUCUGCAGCCGAUAUGUCUUGGCAUAUGCAUUCAACAGUGACCAGGACGUCGUGAAAUAUGUGUCUAGAUUAGCUCCUCUGCUUAGUAUUGCUAUAUUCAUGGACAACAUGCAAUCGGUACUUUCCGGUGAGAAUCCUAACAUUCUAUCAGGAUUUAUUUGCACUCAUCUAAUGCUUAAAUAGCAGUGAACAUGCAGCUAAUAAUUUAAUUUUCGCGAAUUUACCUUUCUCGUCAGGGGUAGCUAGAGGAAUUGGGUGGCAGCACAUAAGGGCUUAUAUAAAUCUUGGUGCAUUUUAUCUCGUUGGAAUCCCGGUAGCGUAUGUGCUAUGUUUUUCAGUUCAUCUCAGAACGAAAGGCCUUUUGCUUGGAUUAAUGUCAGGCUCAACCGUACAAGCAGUUGCGCUUGCCGUCGUUACUUCAUUAACCAAUUGGCAAAAACAGGUUUCUGUAAUUCAUUUUUACUUUUGUUCUACGUGUUUGUUUCUUUGACAAUAUAUUAAUCAUCCUCUAAUCUGUUGGCUGACACUGAAUUUUUCAUAAUUUCAUGUGGAUAUUUUUCCAGGCAACCAUGGUCAGGGAAAGAAUAUUGGAGGGAGCACCUUCUACUGAAAAUCCAUCGGUUUGAUCCACCUGGGCUAGUAAUUAAUUACCCUGUUUUGUUUUUCAUCGUAACAAAUUACAUUCUCGAGACGAGAGCUGUAAAAUUUAACAGUGCUGGCAUUCUGACAAGCACCGGGUGACAAUUAUCGAACAGUUGGUAAGCAGAAGCAAAUAAACCCAACAAUAAGCACUAAUUUUUUAUAACAGCUAGUCAGCUACCACAAACAAUUUUUUUUUUCUUUAUAAUGAACUUCAGAAGAGAGAGAGAGGGGGGUAAAAAGCUAUAAUAAUAAUUAAAAAAAAAAAACUUAGAAAUAACUCCUAAUAAUAAUAAUAAUCAGGUGGAUCAUAGUACGCCACUACGCCUUAUAAUUCGUAAUAAAAGUAUACUGCUGAAACAUAAAUUUAAAAAAAAAAAAAAAAACACUCGAUGAGAUAACAAUACAAAGAAACAGCUAAACCAAUUAUUUAGAAAACCAUAUUUGCAUACCACAAACUAAUUUAAAGAUAACGUACGAUAUAACAGCAGUAGCAGAAAUAAGGUUGAUACAAUAAUUAAUGAAGCUCUACGCUACACCAAUUAGUGGUACCAUACCAUGCAUGAUCCAUCACACAGAGGAAAAAGAAAAAAAAAAAAGAUUUUAUUUAGCUUACUAUAUAUAUACGUAUUGCCAGCAGCCUGCAUGCUAGUACGGGGGAGGGGGAGGAUGAGGAGGGCGGUUCCAAGGCGGCGUUGGCCUGUAGGGAUCAUAGUUAUAAGGAGGUGCGGGACCGGGGGGGCCCGGAGGCGCUGCAAAAGGAGGGGGUGGAGAGUGAUGGUGAUGGUACCGAGGAGGUGGUGGAGGAGGCGGAUGGAACAAUUCGGGGCGGGGUGGCGGUGGUGGUGGAGGUGAAGGACCGUAAACGUGAGGUGGCGGCGGUGGGUGAGGAGCAUAUGGAUCUGCUGCCGCUGGUGGUGGUGGUGGUGGUGGAGGACCUGGACCUGGACGGUGGUGUCUAUGAAAUGCCAUGUUUUUGAAAGUUAGGUGAUCAAUACAAAGUGCUGUGCUGUUGUUUUUGUUUUAAGGGAUUUGGAGUUGUUUGUAUGUAUUUCCUUUGACGGUUCGUCGGAUGACGUGCCCAUGUUUGUGCCUCGGCUUCCUCAGCCAAUCAGAUUUUUAUUUUUGUCAAAAUUCGUUUCGUCUCCUCAUAUACUCCGUUUCAAGAGUGCAUCAUAUUU